UUAAAUGUGCCGUGGUUUCGACGUGUCAGUUCGUAGUAAAUAAUUCGCUGUGCUAGUCGCAUAUACCAAGAGUCUGACACGCGUACAAAUCAAUCGACAGAGUUGAAAACACUUUGCCAUACAACAGCAGCAACAACGAAAACAACAACAAUUAAUACAGCAGCAUGGCGGAAAAAGUAAAUGUUUGCAUCGUGGGCUCUGGCAACUGGGGUUCGGCCAUAGCGAAAAUCGUGGGCGCCAAUGCGGCCGCGCUGCCCGAGUUUGAGGAGCGCGUCACAAUGUUUGUCUACGAGGAGAUGAUUGAUGGCAAGAAGUUAACGGAAAUUAUCAAUGAAACGCACGAGAAUGUUAAAUACCUGAAGGGACACAAACUGCCAACAAAUGUGGUUGCUGUACCUGAUCUGGUUGAGGCUGCCAAGAAUGCCGAUAUACUAAUCUUUGUGGUGCCACAUCAAUUUAUACCAAAUUUCUGCAAGCAAUUGCUGGGCAAGAUCAAGCCAAAUGCCAUUGCCAUAUCCCUGAUCAAGGGCUUCGAUAAGGCCGAGGGCGGCGGCAUUGAUCUGAUAUCGCACAUUAUUACCCGCCAUUUGAAGAUACCAUGCGCCGUGCUGAUGGGCGCUAAUCUGGCCAACGAGGUGGCCGAGGGCAACUUUUGCGAGACGACAAUCGGCUGCACGGACAAAAAGUACGGCAAGGUGCUGCGUGAUCUCUUCCAGGCAAAUCAUUUUCGUGUCGUGGUCGUUGAGGAUGCCGAUGCCGUUGAGGUUUGCGGCGCCCUGAAGAACAUUGUGGCCUGUGGUGCGGGCUUUGUCGAUGGUCUCAAGCUGGGCGAUAAUACUAAGGCAGCGGUCAUUCGUUUGGGUCUCAUGGAAAUGAUACGCUUUGUCGAUGUCUUCUAUCCGGGCAGCAAAUUGUCCACAUUCUUUGAGAGCUGCGGUGUUGCGGAUCUCAUCACGACAUGUUACGGUGGUCGCAAUCGUCGUGUCUCAGAGGCUUUUGUCACAUCGGGCAAGACAAUCGAAGAUCUGGAGAAAGAGAUGCUCAAUGGCCAAAAAUUGCAGGGCCCGCCCACUGCCGAGGAGGUUAACUAUAUGUUGAAAAACAAAGGCCUGGAGGAUAAAUUCCCAUUGUUCACCGCCAUACACAAAAUUUGCACAAAUCAGCUUAAGCCUAAAGAUUUAAUCGAUUGCAUACGCAAUCAUCCCGAGCAUAUGGAUACGUUCAUCAUGCCGUCGCCAAAACUCUAAACUGUGUUAAACCAAAACAAAAAAAUGUUCUAAAAGUUUAAUUCGAUUGUAAAUACUAUUUGUUUAUAUAUCAAGUCAAGUCAAGUCAAGUCCAGUCAUACACACACAAAAUAUUAUCAUGCACAUCCACACACGCAUUUGCAACCGAUACGUAUUCGAAAAUCGUUUCCUUCGCCAAGCUCAACACGCAUUUUAUAAUACAACUCGAUUCUUUUUAAAAUGGUUUUCAAAAACCAAUGUAUGUGUUCAUAGGUGAAAAUGUCAGUGUCAUAUUUGUUAAACCAAAAUCAGUUUUGUUAAACACGAAUAAAGUAUUUAAAUAAUGUUUUUGUUCUGUACAUAUCAAAAGAAAAACGCAUAAUUAGCAUUAAAAAAAACAUACUUAUUUUUGAAAUGAAACAUAUUUUUUGAAGAAAUUGGCAGCUAUACAAAUCGGCAGCGAGCAGUACGUAUCAAAAUUUGAUAUACUUAUUAUUAAUUGAAUUUUACGUUAUUUGUUUAACUCACGUUUGUAUUUGAAUGCAAUUUGAAAUGUUACGCUUAUUAAAGCCAAGCACUUUUAUAAAUAAUGAGUUUUGUUU
rnacentral:misc_RNA from 1 species